rnacentral:lncRNA from 1 species
UUCAUUUCAAAGGGUGGUUUUUGCUUGUUUCCCACGAAUAUUUUAUUUAUUACCUAAAUAUAUUUUUGGCAGUAGUGAAUAUGACCCUACUAGUAACUCCUUACACGAGACCAAUAUUUAUACGUUUCCCGGUCAAUAAAUAUUCAAAAAGUCAAACUUUCUGUUCCAACUCACGUAAGCACGAAUCCACCGUCGUUUAGAUUUGAUGAUAUAUCAAUACAAAUAAAUUAAUAAAAUGUAUUAUUAUUAUUUU